UACGUAGGGUGCGAGCGUUGUCCGGGAUCAUUGGGCGUAAAGAGCGUGUAGGCGGCUCGGUAAGUCCGCUGUGAAAGUCGGGGGCUCAACCCUCGAAUGCCGGUGGAUACUGUCGGACUAGAGUACGGAAGAGGCGAGUGGAAUUCCUGGUGUAGCGGUGAAAUGCGCAGAUAUCAGGAGGAACACCAAUGGCGAAGGCAGCUCUCUGGGACGGUACUGACGCUGAGACGCGAAAGCGUGGGGAGCGAACAGG
rnacentral:rRNA from 1 species